GGAGGAGGGCUAACAGGACCAAAGAACGUGGACCAAAUUAGCCAGUUAAGGAUAGACUACUAAUUAGAGUCUUAAUUAAUGAAGAGAAUUCAUUAGUUCAUUAAUUGGGGUAAAUUAGAAGCAAUGAACAUGAAUUUGUUUGUUUGUUCAAAUGUAGAAAUGUGUGAAAAGUCUGGAAAGGGACAGGUGGGGCUGGAAUGAUUGGCUCCCUGUCUCUGGGAGCCAGAACAAAGCAGUGCCUGGCUCACCAACACUUCCCAGGGGCGUUGGAGGGUUUCAUUUCUUCCCAACGCUUUUCAGGGACAAUUCUUGGUGAGCCAGGUGGGACAAUGCUGUCGACCCUCCAGGGAUUCCGGGACCCUGAGGACUCCAGCGAGCAGUGAAAAUAUUCUUCUGGGAGAUCUCAGUCCCUGGAUCUGGGAUCCUGAGGAGGGUGAAGCCCUUCUGUGCAGGACAUGGAGAUGGUCCCUGGCCUGUCCAAAUGCAUUAAAUGCUGCUGCUGAAGGAGCCCCCCCAGUGAUUUUAUCUGCAUUGACCCCCUGGAGCCCACGGGCACCUGCUCCUGCCUGGACAGAAACCAGGAGUUUCCUUGGACUGGUGUCCCCCAGGAAGGACGUUUUCCCCCCUGUUUCUGAGGCUUUUAAUAGUCUUUGAUCAAUAAAUAUUUCUCCAUGUGA